UAUCAGUAAGCGGAGGAAAAGAAACUAACCAGGAUUUCCUUAGUAACGGCGAGUGAAGAGGAAUUAGCCCAGCACCGAAUCCUGUAGUGCAUGCUACUAGGAGUUGUGGUGUUUAAGUUGGUUUUAUGAUAUCACAUGGAGGAUAAGGUCCACUUGAAAGUGGUAAUUGAUCCAUAGAGGGUGCAAGGCCCGUUAAUUUUGCAUGUGGUGUCAUAUAAUUAACUUCAGAGUCGGGUUGCUUGUGAAUGCAUCCCAAAUUGGCUGGUAAACUCCAGCUAAGGCUAAAUACUGGGACAAGUCCGAUAGCAAACAAGUACCGUGAGGGAAAGUUGAAAAGAACUUUGAAGAGAGAGUUCAAUAGUACGUGAAACCGCUCAGAUGUAAACGGGUAGAACCGAAAAAGGUACAUAGGAUUCAACCUAAUGCACAAUCCAGCUUCUUAAGUUGAUUCAAUUUGGACAGCUUUUGGUAGUCUGUGAUAUUACAUUGGGUGCACUUUCUAUGUUCGCUUUACUGUGACCGGUGGUAUCGCUAACUUCUUGUGCUAUUGUGGUAACAUGUGCUCUGCAUGUGUGAUAAAUAGCAUAGGAGUGACGCGGAGCAUCGUAAUUCAACAGUUGUUUGAAUUUAUCGUAUUAAGGCUCGUGUGUGUAUUAAUGAAACUUCGUAGAAGUUAGUUGGUACAUCAUAUGUUUCUUUGCGGUUUUUCAUUUACUGUAGAUGUCACGGUGCAUAUGUAGGUAAUCUACCUGACCCGUCUUGAAACACGGACCAAGGAGUCUAACAUGUUCGCGAGUUGUUGGGUUUUACGAAACCCAGUGGCGAAGUGAAAGCAUAGGUUUGAUUUCUCAAGCUUAGUUGAGAUCCUUACAUUUGUAAGGCGCAUCAACGGAACGACAUAUAAUGCUUGCAUUGUGUCGUAUCAUUAGCGAACAUGUUGGGACCCGAAAGAUGGUGAACUAUGCUUGCACAGGUUGAAGCCAGAGGAAACUCUGGUGGAGGACCGCAGCGGUUCUGACGUGCAAAUCGAUCGUCAGAUGUGAGUAUAGGGGCGAAAGACUAAUCGAACCAUCUAGUAGCUGGUUCCCACCGAAGUUUCCCUCAGGAUAGCAGACGCUCGUUCACAGUUUUAUUCGGUAAAGCGAAUGAUUAGAGGUAUUGGGAGCGAAAUGCUCUCAACCUAUUAUCAAACUUUAAAUGGGUGAGACGUUUAACUCGCUUAAUUGGAGUUGAACAUUGAAUGUGAGUGUCUAGUGGGCCAUUUUUGGUAAGCAGAACUGGCGCUGUGGGAUGAACCAAACGUCGAUUUAAGUUGCCUCAUAUGAACGCUUAUCAGACACCACGAAAGGUGUUGGUUGAUAUAGACAGCAGGACGGUGGACACGGAAGUUGUAAUCCGCUAAGGAGUGUGUAACAACUCACCUGCCGAAUCAACCAGCCCUGAAAAUUUAUGGCGCUAUAGCGUUGCAACUAUAAUCGACUUGUAUUGCAUCCUAUUUGGAAGCAAUGCGAAGUAGGUGGGCCGCCGUGAUAGUGUAGAAGCUCAGCGCGCAAGCCUGGGUGGAACUGUUACGGGUGCAGAUCUUGGUGGUAGUAGCAAAUAUUCAAGUGAGAACCUUGAA
rnacentral:rRNA from 1 species